AUUGAACGCUGGCGGCAGGCCUAACACAUGCAAGUCGAGCGAGCGGCGGACGGGUGAGUAUUGUCUGGGAAACUGACUGAUGGAGGGGGAUAACUACUGGAAACGGUAGCUAAUACCGCAUACGAUAAGAGGGGCCCAGCUGGGAUUAGCUAGUAGGUGGGGUAACGGCUCACCUAGGCGACGGUCCCUAGCUGGUGUGAGGGGAUGACCAGCCACACUGGGACUGAGACACGGUCCAGACUCCUACGUGAGUCAGCAGUGGGGAAUAUUGCACAAGGGGCUCAAGCCUGAUCCAUCCAUGCCGCGUGUGUGAAGAAGGCCUUCGGGUUGUAAAGCACUUUCAGCGGGGAGGCGUUACCCGCAGAAGAAGCACCGGCUAACUCCGUGCCAGCAGCCGCGGUGAUUC
rnacentral:rRNA from 1 species